rnacentral:rRNA from 1 species
UGAGGAAUAUUGGUCAAUGGACGCAAGUCUGAACCAGCCAUGCCGCGUGAAGGAUGAAGGCCUUCUGGGUUGUAAACUUCUUUUAUCUGGGAAGAAAACUACGGUUUCUACUGUAGCCGACGGUACCAGAGGAAUAAGCACCGGCUAACUCCGUGCCAGCAGCCGCGGUAAUACGGAGGGUGCAAGCGUUAUCCGGAUUUACUGGGUUUAAAGGGUGUGUAGGCGGGUCUUUAAGUCAGUGGUGAAAUCUCCGAGCUCAACUUGGAAACUGCCAAUGAUAAUAUUGAUCUUUAAUUCUGUUGAAGUUUGCGGAAUAAGGCAUGUAGCCGUGAAAUGCAUAGAUAUGACUUAGAAAACCGAAUGCGAAGGCAGCUAACUAAACAGAUAUUGACGCUGAGGCACGAAAGCGUGGGGAUCAAACAGG